ensembl:lncRNA
AUUGUUUUUGUCUGAAAUUUCAGGAAGAUACAACCUCUUCCUUCCUUCAGUAAACUGCUCCUGUGGAAAAACCUUGCCAGUGACCAAAAGUGAUCUGGUUGAAAGUGGUUACUGGCCAGCCACUGUCAAUUUUGAGACCUUGUACUUGGUGGACUUGUUCACCACGUAUGAGGAUCUAAAAAUCACUGCCCCAGGGAUGUUGAGACAAGCUUUUGUCAGCAUGCUCGAGUGUCGUACAAAACUCUUCGGGCGAAGUGGUAAGAUUUGUGGGGACACAAUGCAGAGGGCCUUCCUCGAAUGGGCCUAUGCCAAAUUUGAGGUUGACAAGCUGUCUCAGUGGAUGGGAACCGCAAAUUAUAUCGUUUCAAAAGCCAACCGGGGUGUGUAACAUUCAUGUACAAUGAAAUGCUAGUGAGCCACAAAUUACUUUUAUACAGUAAAUUUAACCCACAUCUAUAUAUUUCUUUCGAGACCUGAUGGGUUUUUUGAUGGAGUCUUUUUGGCCAAUGAUGCUGAGGUGUCCUCCUUUGUUGAUUACAUCCAUGGAACAACUGGACAUGUAAGCUAAAUUUAUAUUUCUUCAUGUGUAACACCACAAUUUAAAAUUUUUAUGAAUGCUUGCCAGUUUUUUCCCCAAAAUGUAAACAUUAUUUGGUUUGGAUCAAAUGCCAUAAUACCAUGAUUUACAGCUUAUUUUGUCAAAUGUAACUGUGUAAAUGUCUGUAUUUGCCCUCAUCUGUUUAAG